rnacentral:rRNA from 1 species
GAUCAGAUACCGUCGUAGUCCACACCCUAAACUAUGUCAACUAGUGAUUGGUAAACUAGCAGAUAUGAAAGUUUUUGGACUCUGGGGGAAGUAUGGUCGCAAGGGCGAAACUUAAAGGAAUUGACGGAACGGCACCACCAGGGGUGGAGCGUGCGGCUUAAUUUGACUCAACGCGGGAAACCUUACUAGGGUACGACAUUAGGAUGAUUGACAGAUUGCUUGGUUUUUCUUGAUUUAAUGGGUGGUGGUGCAUGGCCGAUCUUAGUUGGUGGGGUGACUUGUCCGGUUAAUUUCGAUAACGAACGAGAUCCGAGCUGUUUAGUUGCGUUUUUAAAUGGACCAUCUGCUCAGAAGGAAGUGACGGGCUAAAUCAGGUCUGUGAUGCCCUUUGAUACUCUAGGCGGCACGCGCGCUACAAUGGAUGAUAUAACGUGUUAAUCGAGAGAUUAUGUGAAUCACAAAUGUUACGUCUUGAAUGGGAUAGUCUAUUGCAAUUUUCAGACUUGAACUAGGAAUCCCUUGUAGAUGCAGUAAAGAAUACUGCAUCGAAUACGUCCCUGCCGUUUGUGCACACCGCCCGUCGUUUCUUCCGACUGGUACUCAUUGUGAAUUGCGAGGUGAAAUCGUUGUGAAUGCUGGGUAUUGGAGGAAGAAAAAGUCGUAACAAGGUUAUCGUAGGUGAACCUGCAGAAGGAUCA